AAUUUACGUGGAAGGAUGCAGCGGCUGGAUGCAUCCGUACAGAUUGACGAUGAUCGUAUAUCUUAUAGCUAAGCUUGCUUCUUGCCUCGACACACAUGCUCGGUCGGUUGUCAGGUACAAGGCAAUUUCUCGCGAUUAACCUGUGCAGCUGCUGCUCAGUCUACAUCUCUCAUCCUUGCCGUAGAACUGCAGACUGGAAAAGUUUCCGCUGCGCUGCAGGGCCAGCUAGACCCUGACUACACCUUCUUCGUGUCCCGAUGUAAGUACGUCCUUAUGUGGGAUCGUCAAGAAUCAGCUAUGCAAUGCCCACGUUUAUAUUAUAG